rnacentral:rRNA from 1 species
GCUGGCGGCGUGCCUAAUACAUGCAAGUCGAGCGAACAGACGAGGAACUUGCUCCUCUGACGUUAGCGGCGGACGGGUGAGUAACACGUGAUAACCUACCUAUAAGACUGGGAUAACUUCGGGAAACCGGAGCUAAUACCGGAUAAUAUAUUGAACCGCAUGGUUCAAUAGUGAAAGACGGUUUUGCUGUCACUUAUAGAUGGAUCCGCGCCGCAUUAGCUAGUUGGUAAGGUAACGGCUUACCAAGGCAACGAUGCGUAGCCGACCUGAGAGGGUGAUCGGCCACACUGGAACUGAGACACGGUCCAGACUCCUACGGGAGGCAGCAGUAGGGAAUCUUCCGCAAUGGGCGAAAGCCUGACGGAGCAACGCCGCGUGAGUGAUGAAGGUCUUCGGAUCGUAAAAACUCUGUUAUUAGGGAAGAACAAAUGUGUAAGUAACUAUGCACGUCUUGACGGUACCUAAUCAGAAAGCCACGGCUAACUACGUG